CGUCGAUCCGGCCGGGAGGAGCUCGCCGGAGGCAAGGGGAACAAUCUGUUGGACGAGAGGACGUUGAGCAGGAUUCUGUGCAUUCCGGUUCUUUAUCGCCGUGAGGGCGGGUGAUUGGUUGUCUAAAUUUUCAACAAAGAGUUGCAGGAUGCUUAGAUUUGGAUGGGAUGGGCGCAGAGUGCAAGUAUCAGAGUCAUUAGCUAGUUAGUUUGUUGUCCUUUUUUGAUGUCGAUGAACAUUUGAAGAUCUUGUAAUUGAACUAAUUUGUUUAUUUGGACAUGUCGGACUGCUCUAUUUGAAUUACUAGAUUAAUUAUGG